UGUCUGAUUCACCUCUGUGUUCCCA
rnacentral:piRNA from 1 species